AAACCAUGAUUAGGAGACUUUUGCAAAUAUUCCUUGAAUCUCUCCCAAGCUUUAAAUAGUUGUUCCCCUGGAAGCUGUUUGAAAUCAUAUAUCUUGUCACGAAUCU